AUUGAACGCUGGCGGCAGGCCUAACACAUGCAAGUCGAGCGGUUGAGGGGAGCUUGCUCCCUGAUUCAGCGGCGGACGGGUGAGUAAUGCCUACGAUUCUGCCUAUUAGUGGGGGACAACGUUUCGCAAGGUACGCUAAUACCGCAUACGUCCCACGGGAGAGCGCAGGGGACGUGCGGCCCUUGCGCUAAUAGAUGAGCUUAGGUCGUAUUAGCUUGUUGGUGAGGUAAUGGCUUACCAAGGCGACGAUCCGUAACUGGUCUAAGAGGAUGAUCAAGCACACUGGAACUGAGACACUGUACAGACUCCUACGGGAGGCAGAAGGGGGGAAUAGUGGACAAUGGGGGAAAGCCUGAUCCAGCCAUGCCGCGUGUGUGAAGAAGGUCUUCGGAUUGUAAAGCACUUUAAGUUGGGAGGAAGGGUUGUAGAUUAAUACUCUGCAAUUUUGACGUUACCGACAGAAUAAGCACCGGCUAACUCUGUGCCAGCAGCCGCCGUAACAC
rnacentral:rRNA from 1 species